AACGAACGCUGGCGGCAUGCCUAACACAUGCAAGUCGAACGAGACCUUCGGGUCUAGUGGCGCACGGGUGCGUAACGCGUGGGAACCUGCCCUUAGGUUCGGAAUAACUCCCCGAAAUGGGUGCUAAUACCUGAUAAUGUCUUCGGACCAAAGAUUUAUCGCCUUGGGAUGGGCCCGCGUUGGAUUAGCUAGUUGGUAGGGUAAAAGCCUACCAAGGCGACGAUCCAUAGCUGGUCUGAGAGGAUGAUCAGCCACACUGGGACUGAGACACGGCCCAGACUCCUACGGGAGGCAGCAGUGGGGAAUAUUGGACAAUGGGCGAAAGCCUGAUCCAGCAAUGCCGCGUGAGUGAUGAAGGCCUUAGGGUUGUAAAGCUCUUUUACCCGGGAUGAUAAUGACAGUACCGGGAGAAUAAGCUCCGGCUAACUCCGUG
rnacentral:rRNA from 1 species